rnacentral:rRNA from 1 species
GGUUAGUAACACGUGGAUAACCUACCUAUAAGACUGGGAUAACUUCGGGAAACCGGAGCUAAUACCGGAUAAUAUUUUGAACCGCAUGGUUCAAAAGUGAAAGACGGUCUUGCUGUCACUUAUAGAUGGAUCCGCGCUGCAUUAGCUAGUUGGUAAGGUAACGGCUUACCAAGGCAACGAUGCAUAGCCGACCUGAGAGGGUGAUCGGCCACACUGGAACUGAGACACGGUCCAG